CAAAGAAAAAAAAGAGAAAAUGAGAAGUGGGGUUUGGAUGCAUGGUCUAACGAUGAUUUAUGGUAGUGGCGGUGUGUGGCACGACGACAAUGGAAAAAUAAAACAUCACCACCUUUACACAUGUUAGAGAAGAAGAAGAUGGAGCGAAAAAUGGAGACGACGGUGACGACGACAACAACGACAUAGCUCAACGAAGACGAGGAUGACAACAUGGCUUAAUGAAGAUGGAGGCAUGUCAAAUGGGAUCUUGUAACUUUGGUGGUUUGAAUUGAGAUGGGAGAAAUUGAGAAGAUGAGGGAACUUUGAUAUAGAAGUAGGGUUUGAAGUUGGGAAAGGAGAAGAAAGAUUCUGCAAUGAAAGAGAGAGAGGUAGAAAAAAAUUAAUAAUCUGUGAUUUAUAGUGAGAGAGAAAGAGUGGGCGGGGAAAUUUGUCACUCUUUUUACCGACGAAUUUUUUUGUUGGUAAAUGAAAUAUACUUUAUCGAUAGAUUUACCGAUAGACCAAAUCCGUCGGUAAUUAUUGAAGAAUUUAUCCAAAGACUUCUUUCGUUCGUAUAAUGAAAAUCAGUGUAUCAUAAUUUGACAAUAAUAAGAUUUUAAUAAUAGUAAUGUCACGUGUCCAAAAUAAUAAUUUAAAAACUAUAUAUUAAAUAAUACAUAAUAGUAUUUUAAUUGUACAGGCGAGUUUUAUGAGAAUCAAUGUUUAAGCGGAUGCUAACUUAGUAAUGCUAAUUCGAGUUUCUUUAAUUUGUCUUAAUAUGCUAUUUGUUAAGAACUCGUCUUUCAUGCCCCUAAUUUCCCCAGCAUUUUAUACAUACAUGAAAACCAUAAUUCAAUUAAUUCUUGCAAUUAGAAGUGGACUAACAAUUUCUUUCACUUUGUUCUAUAAUUUAGUGUUUUAGAUGAACCAUAUUCCAUAUUAAGUUAUUCACUGAAUAAUUCAAAAGGAAAAUCAUUUUAGCCACCA
rnacentral:lncRNA from 1 species